UACGAGGGGGGCAAGCGUUGUUCGGAAUUACUGGGCGUAAAGCGCACGUAGGCGGAUCGUUAAGUCGGGGGUGAAAUCCUGGAGCUCAACUCCAGAACUGCCUUCGAUACUGGCGAUCUUGAGUCCGGAAGAGGUGAGUGGAACUCCUAGUGUAGAGGUGGAAUUCGUAGAUAUUAGGAAGAACACCAGUGGCGAAGGCGGCUCACUGGUCCGGUACUGGACGCUGAGGUGCGAAAGCGUGGGAGCAACAGGGAUAAGAAACCUUGUACGUACCGAG
rnacentral:rRNA from 1 species